UUGUAUUCGAGUGUAUUCGACUGUAUUCAUGGAGUGAAACAUGGGAUUGCACUGUUUUUAAAACGAAAAGUGAAUCAAUUAACAUAAUAGACUCUU
rfam:Nicotiana sylvestris Nsyl_contig24923, whole genome shotgun sequence.